GCUCUGGUUAUCAAGAUUCAAGAGUUUGUAAAAUAACGAUUUGCUUAGACAUUAUAGGUUUCGCGUUUCCAAAUUCAGUAAAAAAAUAUAAGUUUCGGUAUUUUGAAAUACAUUUUAGUAAUGCAUACUUUAGUUAUAUUAACGUAGAUAAUACUUAUAAUUGUAUGCAAAGUCGUGCUGGUGCACCACCAGCUCAAGUAUCUUCAGAUUCAGGAACUUGAUUUAAACACUGUAUAAAUUCAUAUCGUGCUCUUCAUGUCCGAUUCCAUAAUUCAUUUUCUUGAUGCUACAAUUUUUAUAAUUUCUUAACCACUUUACUUGAUGUUUACGCUAUAUAUUUAUUAUCAGCGAGUCCAUGACCUUUGUCUGGUCUAGCUCCAUUGCCCUAUGCCUCUUCCAACAUAUUAAUUACUCCAAAAAGUCAUAUUACACUCUAGUAGUCUGUGUCACACACACAAAAAACACACACUCGAACUCUAUCAUUUUGGGUAGCUUCGUUGAUUUGUUGUCACAACCUAUGGAUUCCACAUCCGUGCCCAUCAUUUUGUCGUCGACUCGAAUGAAACUUGGACUCCACAUCCUAGGCCUACAUUGUCGUAACGUAAACCCAAUAAUAGAAGCCCAUUGUAAAAUAAUUAAAGGAAAAAAAUAGACAGACAACCGAGAAAAGACGGAAACCGACAGUAUGUCCCAAGAAUCUUUGGCUUUAAGGUACACAAACUAUAAUGAGAGUAGUGCUCUGCAUUCUCAGUGGUGAUAGUGGCUCCUGGAUGUGAGCACAUGAAACAAUGCCUUUGGUUUGAAAGGAUGCGAGUUAAAAUGAAGUUGGAGACUGGAAUCUUGAAGGAACGGCUCAUGAAGUCCCAAGAAAUCUUACCGCAACAGCUUGGAUCGUUGGGUGGAAGACAGGUAAUCUGAACUCGGAAAUAGUUACUGUCGUUUGUCUAGAAAUUGCAAGGUCUCAGCUUAUUAAUUAUUUAUCUAAUUCCAUGUAAACCUCCAAAAAUUGUAAUGCUUGAUGACAUCAGAUAACAUUUGUUUUAUGGUUUUAAUUGUUAUUGUAUAAAUUAAAUUUACAACUUUAUAACAUGUAUUCGUUAGGCCAAUUCGGUUAAGCUUUUUGUACUAGUUCCCAUGAUUAAACUUACAAAUUCAUCUACAAAGUAGAUUUCAACUUGAGUAAUCGAAAGCAAAACAAAGACCGAGAAAAGUUGAAUCAGAAUGAUUAACGUUAUUCGAAGUGAUAAGUAAAUGAUAAAAACAAACAAAAAACUCGAAGAGAUUUGAUUCAAAGCUAAAUGUAACAUCGUCUUGAAUAGAAACAUAGUAUUGCAAAACAUGAUAUUGUCAAAACAAAGAAGCCAA